GACGAACGCUGGCGGCGUGCCUAAUACAUGCAAGUCGAACGCAGUGGGGACGGGUGAGUAACACGUGGGUAACCUCCCAUCAGAGGGGAUAACACUUGGAAACAGGUGCUAAACCGAUACUGAUGGAUGGACCCGCGGUGCAUUAGCUAGUUGGUGAGGUAACGGCUCACCAAGGCCAUGAUGCAUAGCCGACCGUGGAUGGGGAUCGGGCACACUGGGAAUUAGGCACGGCCCAGACUCCUACGGGAGGCAGCAGUAGGGAAUCAUCGGCAAUGGGCGGAAGUCUGACCGAGCAACGCCGCGUUGGUGAAGAAGGUUUUCGGAUCGUAAAGCUCUGUUGUUAGGGAAGCGGUAACUAACCAGAAAGGGACGGCUAACUACGUGCCAGCAGCCGCGGUAAUUC
rnacentral:rRNA from 1 species